rnacentral:rRNA from 1 species
GUGCCAGACUCCUACGGGAGGCAGCAGUGAGGAAUAUUGGUCAAUGGGCUAAGGCCUGAACCAGCCAAGUCGCGUGAGGGAAGACGGUCCUAUGGAUUGUAAACCUCUUUUGUCGGGGAGCAACGAGGCCACGUGUGGCCGAAGUGAGAGUACCCGAAGAAAAAGCAUCGGCUAACUCCGUGCCAGCAGCCGCGGUAAUACGGAGGAUGCGAGCGUUAUCCGGAUUUAUUGGGUUUAAAGGGUGCGUAGGCGGAACAUUAAGUCAGCGGUAAAAUCGAGGGGCUCAACCCCUUUAAGCCGUUGAAACUGGUGAUCUUGAGUGGGCGAGAAGUAUGCGGAAUGCGUGGUGUAGCGGUGAAAUGCUUAGAUAUCACGAAGAACUCCGAUUGCGAAGGCAGCCUACUAAACUGCCACUGACAUUGAUGCUCGAAAGUGUGGGUAUCAAACAGGAUUAGAUACCCUGGUA